GAUGAACGCUGGCGGCGUGCCUAAUACAUGCAAGUCGAGCGAACGGACGAGAAGCUUGCUUCUCUGAUGUUAGCGGCGGACGGGUGAGUAACACGUGGAUAACCUACCUAUAAGACUGGGAUAACUUCGGGAAACCGGAGCUAAUACCGGAUGAUAUUUUGAACCGCAUGGUUCAAAAGUGAAAGACGGUCUUGCUGUCACUUAUAGAUGGAUCCGCGCUGCAUUAGCUAGUUGGUAAGGUAACGGCUUACCAAGGCAACGAUGCAUAGCCGACCUGAGAGGGUGAUCGGCCACACUGGAACUGAGACACGGUCCAGACUCCUACGGGAGGCAGCAGUAGGGAAACUUCCGCAAUGGGCGAAAGCCUGACGGAGCAACGCCGCGUGAGUGAUGAAGGUCUUCGGAUCGUAAAACUCUGUUAUUAGGGAAGAACAUAUGUGUAAGUAACUGUACACAUCUUGACGGUACCUAAUCAGAAAGCCACGGCUAACUACGUG
rnacentral:rRNA from 1 species